AUGUCUCUGCCUGUUGUGGCUCCUUGGGAAAGCUCAGCACUAUGAGCCUACUGCCUUCCAGAUGCAACGUCUACCAUCCCCACUCCUCCCGUCGAGCCAGCGCUGUCCCUGGUGGGAGUGUUUGCUACAUCAAAGCCCCGGAAUAUGGAAGGACAUGAAUUUCACAGCAGCCGAGGCUGACAGUGCUUCGCAGUUCUGCUUUUAGAAGUGUGGAGUGUGAGAAGAUAUCAGUAAAUGACAAAAAGAUCCUUUUAACAGGGGCAAAAGAGAAUCUUUUCCCUCAAACGUAUUCUUGGAAAGACUUGAGCCAUUUCAGCUGAAAUGAAAAAGUUUAGCCUGAGGCCAAACCCAGCUGAAGAAAUUUUCAGCCUAAACAAUUAAUUAUAGAUGAAGUUAUGAGCAACCAAAACCAGAGUUAUACAAUAGUCAACUGUAAUUAUAGUGGUGCUUUUAACUCUGCCUAUAACAGAGGCAUGUAUGUCAAUGUAAAUUCUUGGGUUGGUCUCAGGAAGAGCCUUGUGGAGCUGUUUACAAACCCGAUCUUUCUGAUCUGAUGGGAUGGGAGCGAGCAUUUUGCAUCAGAAAUAAUCUGCUUUUGAAAGAUGAAUUAACUGGUGACUUUCAAAGCUGUGUCUUGUCUGUACUCAGCAUUUACCUAGGGUCACUUUAGCCGUGAUAUUACGUUUCUGCUCUACGUGGGAGGAAGGGCGUAAUGAAGAGGGAGCCUCCUAUGACGGAGAACAGCUCAGUCAUGAGAAAGCUGGGUUGGCAGAGAUUAAUGGGGAAGCAUCCUGUCUGCGAUAUCACCAUCUGAGCAAGCCUUUCCCGGGAAACUGGUCGAAAUGUAUCUUGCCAAAAUACCACUUAAGUGACACCUGGAGGUUAGUUGGAACAGCGUACAGUUAUGUCAGAAAUGCCCUCCCUUCCUCCUGGCUUUCUCUGCAUGUACAGAGCUUAGCAUGUUUCAGUUCCCCACAGAUUCAAGUGAAGUUUAAAUCAACAUUGAUUCAAGGGAAUCAGUGCGAGGAGAUCCCAGAUCUGGAGUGGACGUUCUCCAACAGCAGCAGAGUGUCGGUGCCAGCACAGGAGUAUGCGCACAAGGAGCUCUCAGCCAGAGCAGGCCCAGAAUCUGUUUUGCUUUCUCACACUUGGAGCUGGUAUAUUUUAAAGGAUAUCAAGCGGCAAAUGUGGCAAAGGGGAAAAAUUGCUACAGACUGUAUCUGGCAGAAAACCAGCAAAGAUAAAAUACCAUACGUUCUGUGCAAUGAGCUCCUACAUAAAUGAUUCAUUCACUGGAAUACAGCUGGGGUCAAACACCUUCUAUUUGAAUAGCCAAAAGUUAUGCAAAUAUUUUAUGUGGAUUUUUCUCAAGAAAAGAAAGAGGGGGAAAAAAAGGACAAUAUAUCCUAUUCCCAUUUAAAAAUAAAAUAAAAGCUGUUUAUCUAUGUAACUUUUAA
rnacentral:lncRNA from 1 species